rnacentral:rRNA from 1 species
UGCAAGUCGAGCGGAAAGGCCCUUUCGGGGUACUCGAGCGGCGAACGGGUGAGUAACACGUGAGUAAUCUGCCCUUGGCUUUGGGAUAACUACCGGAAACGGUGGCUAAUACCGGAUACGACCAAUCACUGCAUGGUGUGUUGGUGGAAAGUUUUUUCGGCCAGGGAUGUGCUCGCGGCCUAUCAGCUUGUUGGUGGGGUAAUGGCCUACCAAGGCUUCGACGGGUAGCCGGCCUGAGAGGGUGACCGGCCACACUGGGACUGAGACACGGCCCAGACUCCUACGGGAGGCAGCAGUGGGGAAUAUUGGACAAUGGGCGGAAGCCUGAUCCAGCAACGCCGCGUGAGGGAUGACGGCCUUCGGGUUGUAAACCUCUUUCAGUACCGACGAAGCGCCGAUGAUGGUGGUGACGGUAGGUACAGAAGAAGCACCGGCCAACUACGUGCCAGCAGCCGCGGUAAUACGUAGGGUGCGAGCGUUGUCCGGAAUUAUUGGGCGUAAAGGGCUCGUAGGCGGUUUGUCGCGUCGGGAGUGAAAACACCGGGCUUAACUCGGUGCUUGCUUUCGAUACGGGCAGACUAGAGGCAUGCAGGGGAGAACGGAAUUCCUGGUGUAGCGGUGAAAUGCGCAGAUAUCAGGAGGAACACCGGUGGCGAAGGCGGUUCUCUGGGCAUGUCCUGACGCUGAGGAGCGAAAGUGUGGGGAGCGAACAGGAUUAGAUACCCUGGUAGUCCACACCGUAAACGUUGGGCGCUAGGUGUGGGAUCCAUUCCACGGGUUCCGUGCCGCAGCUAACGCAUUAAGCGCCCCGCC